rnacentral:ncRNA from 1 species
GAUAUAACUGGGUGCGAUGAACUGCGGGGGUACGAUUCCGGCCACCAAGUCCGCAGGGAGUAAAUGGUGGGACCGACCAGUGAGCGA